rnacentral:lncRNA from 1 species
ACACCUUCUAUGCAUCCAUUGCUACAGACCUCCUUUCAUAGCUCUUAUCUAUAUCAAUAGGCUUCACAGUCCGAGGAUCCAAUUUGAGUUUUAUUAGUGUUUCACCAUGUAUAAGCAGACCAUAUUCAUCGGGAGGUUCUGGGUUAAGGCCACCAAUGUAUCCAUUUCGUUUUGGAUUUUUGUCAAACACAUUAACCGCAAUAAGAAACUUAUCUUCCU